CCUGAAAUUUAAAUUUUAACAGAUAUCCCGCUUUUUUCCUAAAUCUGGCUGCCCACCUCUACCCACGAUUGUAAAACUUCCCUUUUUAGCAGCAGCAGGUGAUCUGGCUCUCCUACAAGAUCCUGGAGUGAACAGGAACAAAGGGGACGGAAGGGGAGCUUGCAGGGAAACCAGGGUUCCAGCCAUGGCUCUAGCCCUGAUCUCCAAUAUGGUUUCUGUUCUGUUCCUGGCCCAUGGAGAUGUUUAUCUCAUUUUCAAGCCGACUAUGCCCUUUCCUCCUGUUGCCCCCCCAUCGGAUGAAAACAAUUGUUAUCUAAAACUCAUCAUUAAAAAGUGAUACAUUUUUGUUUUGAAUAGCAUAUGGAGGUUAUUAUUUUUCCAGAAAUUUUCUAUAUUUUUAUCAGGGGGUGUGUGUGUGUAUAUGUAAAUAAACUCUCUAUACCUUUGUACAUCUUUUUUUGUUCACUUAACAGUGUAUCUUGACCAUCCUUAUACCUAAGUCAGCCUUCUUUGAUAAAUGUUGCUGGUCUCUUGGUAUGAUUUUUCUUUUUACUAUGAAAACCUUUCAACAUAUACAAAAGUAGAAAGCAUCAUGUAAUAUUUCUGGAUGCCCCAAUAUUAUAAUAUCCAUGCAGCCUCAAUAACUAUCAGCCCUUAGCCAAUCUUUGUUUUAUGUCUCCUCCCACCCACUUUUCCUCUUCCCCUGAUUAUUUUGAAACGAAUCUCAGUCGUCACAGCAUUUCGUCUGUAAAUGUCAUUUUCAGUCUAUUAGUUUCUUAAAAACACAUCUGCUGUGGCCGAGUUUAGAGCUGAGGAGAGUUAUAUGAGCUCAUAGUGUCACUCUGUCUUCAAGUUCCUCAGUCUGAAAUCAGUUGGUACAAGGGAAGAAAAUAGAGAGAGGCAGCACUAACCUCUAGCCAAGCACACUUUCCAUCUCUCUGCAGAUUGCCUCAUGUCAGGAUGUUAGCGUGACCGUCACGUCUGGAAGGCUUUAUGGCUGAUAUAAAUUCAGGUCCGUUGUUCACUAGGCAUGAAGCCCUCCGUUGUAAGGGAACCAGCCAUCACCCUCAUUACGAGAUGCAUAAAUGUAGGACUUGAAGAUAAAAGCUAUUGGGUUCUUUUCGUCUCUCUGACACCUGAAGAUGAAUUUCUUGAACCUUGUUCUCGUGUU
rnacentral:lncRNA from 1 species